rnacentral:tRNA from 1 species
GGGCCCGUCGUCUAGCCUGGUUAGGACGCCGCCCUCACACGGCGGAGGCCCGGGGUUCAAAUCCCCGCGGGCCCA